ACCCGAGGGAAAGCGCCACAGAGAUGAAACCGCCCGCGUCCGCGCGGGUAAGGGUGAAACGGUGGGGUAAGAGCCCACCGCGGACCUGGCAACAGGGACGGCACGGCAAGCCCCACCGGGAGCAAUGCCAAAUAGGGGCCUCGCGCGGGGGCCGGUCCGGCAACGGAGACCGCCCGCAGGGACGCUUCAGCCCGAGAGGCCCGGGUUGGCAGCUUGAGCGCGCCGGUAACGGCGGGCCAAGAGGAAUGGUCAUCCAGAGGGGUCCGCCCCUUGGACAGAAUCCGGCUUACAGGUCCUCCGCGCAU
rnacentral:RNase_P_RNA from 1 species